UGCCGAACAAACCUGAUUUUCUUCCGUGACAAGCAAGGCUUUUAACACUGUCUCCCAAGACAUUCUCGUACAUAUGUAAGCUGUGAAAAUGUGGCCCAGCUGAACCUGCCAUCAGGACUGGUAAACCCUCACCUGAAGAUCAAUGCCCCAACAGGAUCCAAGAAAGAUUUUGGAAAGAUGUUGAAAGAGUCCAGAGGAGAGCAACACACGUGAUUUGAGGUCUUGAAAACACAAUGUAAAACUCAGGCACGGCAAGGAGAAAUGAUUUAUCCAAGUUCACAAGGGGAAUCUGUGGCCGUGGACAGAUGAAGCUCUUCUACCACUUCCUCCGUGCACAAUGCACAGCCCAGCCAACACGAGCCCCCCUCUCUGGUCAUGUCUAGGGCAUGCUCG